UACGUAGGGUGCAAGCGUUAAUCGGAAUUACUGGGCGUAAAGCGUGCGCAGGCGGUUUGUAAGUACAGAGGUGAAAUCCCGGGCUCAAACCUCGGGAACUGCCUUUGUGACUGCAAGGCUUGAGUGCGGCAGAGGGGAUGGAAUUCCGCGUGUAGCAGUGAAAUGCGUAGAUAUGCGGAGGAACACCGAUGGCGAAGGCAAUCCCCUGGGCCUGCACUGACGCUCAUGCACGAAAGCGUGGGGAGCAAACAGG
rnacentral:rRNA from 1 species